rnacentral:rRNA from 1 species
UGCAAACUGCGAAUACCGGAGAAUGUUAUCACGGGAGACACACGGCGGGUGCUAACGUCCGUCGUGAAGAGGGAAACAACCCAGACCGCCAGCUAAGGUCCCAAAGUCAUGGUUAAGUGGGAAACGAUGUGGGAAGGCCCAGACAGCCAGGAUGUUGGCUUAGAAGCAGCCAUCAUUUAAAGAAAGCGUAAUAGCUCACUGGUCGAGUCGGCCUGCGCGGAAGAUGUAACGGGGCUAAACCAUGCACCGAAGCUGCGGCAGCGACGCUUAUGCGUUGUUGGGUAGGGGAGCGUUCUGUAAGCCUGUGAAGGUGUGCUGUGAGGCAUGCUGGAGGUAUCAGAAGUGCGAAUGCUGACAUAAGUAACGAUAAAGCGGGUGAAAAGCCCGCUCGCCGGAAGACCAAGGGUUCCUGUCCAACGUUAAUCGGGGCAGGGUGAGUCGACCCCUAAGGCGAGGCCGAAAGGCGUAGUCGAUGGGAAACAGGUUAAUAUUCCUGUACUUGGUGUUACUGCGAAGGGGGGACGGAGAAGGCUAUGUUGGCCGGGCGACGGUUGUCCCGGUUUAAGCGUGUAGGCUGGUUUUCCAGGCAAAUCCGGAAAAUCAAGGCUGAGGCGUGAUGACGAGGCACUACGGUGCUGAAGCAACAAAUGCCCUGCUUCCAGGAAAAGCCUCUAAGCAUCAGGUAACAUCAAAUCGUACCCCAAACCGACACAGGUGGUCAGGUAGAGAAUACCAAGGCGCUUGAGAGAACUCGGGUGAAGGAACUAGGCAAAAUGGUGCCGUAACUUCGGGAGAAGGCACGCUGAUACGUAGGUGAAGUCCCUCGCGGAUGGAGCUGAAAUCAGUCGAAGAUACCAGCUGGCUGCAACUGUUUAUUAAAAACACAGCACUGUGCAAACACGAAAGUGGACGUAUACGGUGUGACGCCUGCCCGGUGCCGGAAGGUUAAUUGAUGGGGUCAGCGCAAGCGAAGCUCUUGAUCGAAGCCCCGGUAAACGGCGGCCGUAACUAUAACGGUCCUAAGGUAGCGAAAUUCCUUGUCGGGUAAGUUCCGACCUGCACGAAUGGCGUAAUGAUGGCCAGGCUGUCUCCACCCGAGACUCAGUGAAAUUGAACUCGCUGUGAAGAUGCAGUGUACCCGCGGCAAGACGGAAAGACCCCGUGAACCUUUACUAUAGCUUGACACUGAACAUUGAGCCUUGAUG